UCGGUUAGUCGGCACGAGCGCACCUCAUCUUCAGUUACUAACAGGUUAUGCUGAGGACUCUGGAGAAACUGCCGUUGGAAAAGCGGAGGAAGGCGAGGAUGACGUCAAGUCCUCAUGGCCCUUAUGGGCUGGGCUACACACGUGCUACAAUGGUAAUUACAAUAGGUCGCGAAAAGGCAACUUUUAGCUAAUCUUCAAAAAUUAUCUUAGUUCGGAUUGUUCUCUGCAACUCGAGAGCAUGAAGUUGGAAUUGCUAGUAAUCGUGGAUCAGCAUGCCACGGUGAAUACGUUCCCGGGUCUUGUACACACCGCCCGUCACACCAUGGGAGUUGGUUUUACCUGAAGCCGAUUUUUAAUCGUCCACGGUAAGGUCAGCGACUGGGGUGAAGUCGUAACAAGGUAGCCGUAGGGGAACCUGCGGCUGGAACACCUCCUUUCU
rnacentral:rRNA from 1 species